rnacentral:rRNA from 1 species
UGGCUCAGAACGAACGCUGGCGGCGUGGAUUAGGCAUGCAAGUCGAACGGGAUCUCAAAGCUCUGAAACUUCGGUCGAGGAAUUUUGAGUGAUAGUGGCGAACGGGUGAGUAAUGUAUGAGCAAUCUGCCCCUAAAUCUGGAAUAACUCUGCGAAAGUGGGGCUAAUACCGGAUGUGGUUGUUUUCCGGCAUCAGGAAACAAUUAAAGGUGGGGACCUUCGGGCCUGCUGUUUAGGGAGGAGCUCAUAUCCUAUUAGCUUGUUGGUGGGGUAAAAGCCCACCAAGGCUGUGAUGGGUAGCCGGCCUGAGAGGGUGACCGGCCACACUGGGACUGAGACACUGCCCAGACUCCUACGGGAGGCUGCAGUCGAGAAUCUUUCGCAAUGGGGGAAACCCUGACGAAGCGACGCCGCGUGAGCGAUGAAGGCCUUCGGGUUGUAAAGCUCUGUCGCCUGGGAAAAAUGGCCAGUAUGUUAAUACCAUCCUGGUUUGAUGUUACCAGGAAAGGAAGCCCCGGCUAACUCUGUGCCAGCAGCCGCGGUAAUACAGAGGGGGCAAGCGUUGUUCGGAUUUACCGGGCGUAAAGGGUGCGCAGGCGGCCUUAAAAGUCAGAUGUGAAAUCUUCCGGCUCACCCGGGAAACUGCAUCUGAAACUCUAAGGCUUGAGUAUGUGGGAAGAAAGUGGAAUUCUCGGUGUAGCGGUGGAAUGUGUAGAUAUCGAGAAGAACACCAGUGGCGAAGGCGGCUUUCUAUCACACUACUGACGCUCAUGCACGAAAGCUAGGGGAGCAAACGGGAUUAGAUACCCCGGUAGUCCUAGCCGUAAACGAUGUAUACUUGGUGUUAGGAGCAUCGACCCUUCUAGCGCCGAAGCUAACGCGUUAAGUAUACCGCCUGGGGAGUACGGCCGCAAGGCUAAAACUCAAAGAAAUUGACGGGGGCCCGCACAAGCGGUGGAGCAUGUGGUUUAAUACGACGCAACGCGUAGAACCUUACCAGGGCUUGACAUGUAUGUGACAGUCUAUGAAAGUAGAUCUUCCUUCGGGACAGAUACACAGGUGUUGCAUGGCUGUCGUCAGCUCGUGUCGUGAGAUGUUGGGUUAAGUCCCGCAACGAGCGCAACCCAUGUCCUUAGUUGCCAGCACGUAAUGGUGGGAACUCUAGGGAGACUGCCUCGGUCAACGGGGAGGAAGGUGUGGAUGACGUCAAGUCAGUACGGCCCUUACGCCCUGGGCUACACACGUGCUACAAUGGUCGGUACAAAGAGUCGCAAGACCGCAAGGUGGAGCUAAUCUCAAAAAGCCGAUCUCAGUUCGGAUUGGAGUCUGCAAUUCGACUCCAUGAAGCUGGAAUCGCUAGUAAUGGCGCAUCAGCUACGGCGCCGUGAAUACGUUCCCGGGCCUUGUACACACCGCCCGUCACAUCACCCGAGCUGGGUGCACCCGAAGUCGCUGUACCAACCCUUUUGGGAGGAAGGCGCCGAAGGUGUG